CGGGGAUGGACCUCCAGAUUUCCUUACUGAGACGGAGUCUUGCUAUGUUGCCCAGGCUGGUCUUGAACUCCUCACCUCAAGCGAUCCUCUCGUCUUGGCCUCCCAAGUGUCAGGAUUACAGGCAUGUGCUAUCACACCCAACCUGAUACAUUGCCUUUAUAAAUUUUUUUUUCUUUAUUCUAAAAACCAGAAAAAACAAAACUGGAUACAUGUGCAGAACAUGCAGGUGAGACGUGGUCUUGUAACACAGUGGUUAAGAAUGUGACUUUGGAGCCAGCCUGCUAGGGGCUGAAUUCUGACUCAGCCAUUUACUAACUGUGUGACCUUAGGUCACAGAAUUUUCCACACUCCUUGACGGAGGUGCUUAACCCUUAUCCAUCAGCAUUCUCAGACAGCACCUCCGGUUAGGGACAGUAUCUGACCGUCCGACAUCCCUGCAGCCCCCAUGUGUCACACAGACUCAGCCUCAGGUAGAUGGUUUCCGUAGAUGGUGGCUUUCUUUGGACCCUUGACAUCAACCAGUUACUAUUUGGGGACCAGAUGUGCAGAGGUAAUGAAUACCAGGGAAUCAGGAAACCACUGGAUCAGUUCUUUGAGCCACAGAACAACACUCAUCCCAGCAGCUGGGAAGCUAUCUGCAAAAGUCCAUCUGCAGAAAGGGCUUCCUGGUCUUGCGUGUGGCUGGGCCAUUUCUCUGGAUGCAGGUUUUUCAUUAUACAGUCUUCUCAAAG
rnacentral:antisense_RNA from 1 species